AUUGAACGCUGGCGGCAUGCCUAACACAUGCAAGUCGAGCGAGCGGCGGACGGGUGAGUAAUGUCUGGGAAACUGCCUGAUGGAGGGGGAUAACUACUGGAAACGGUUGCCAAUACCGCCUACCACUUGAUUUGCCCAGGUGGGAUUGUCUGGUUGGGGGGGUAACGGCUAACCUAGGCGCCGAUCCCUAGCUGGGCUGAGAGGUUGACCAGCCACACUGGAAAUGGGACACGGUCCCAACUCCUACGGGAGGCAGCAGUGGGGAAUAUUGGACAAGGGGGGCAGGCCUGAUGCAGCAAUGCCGCGGAUGUGAGGAGGGCCUUCGGGUUGUAAAGCACUUUCAGCGGGGAGGCGUUACCCGCAGAAGAAGCACCGGCUAACUCCGUGCCAGCAGCCGCGGUAAUUC
rnacentral:rRNA from 1 species